GUCGAGCGGGCCCUUCGGGGUCAGCGGCGGACGGGUGAGUAACGCGUGGGAACGUGCCUUCUGGUUCGGAAUAACUCAGGGAAACUUGAGCUAAUACCGGAUACGCCCUUUUUGGGGAAAGGUUUACUGCCGGAAGAUCGGCCCGCGUCUGAUUAGCUAGUUGGUGGGGUAACGGCCUACCAAGGCGACGAUCAGUAGCUGGUCUGAGAGGAUGAUCAGCCACACUGGGACUGAGACACGGCCCAGACUCCUACGGGAGGCAGCAGUGGGGAAUAUUGGACAAUGGGCGCAAGCCUGAUCCAGCCAUGCCGCGUGAGUGAUGAAGGCCUUAGGGUUGUAAAGCUCUUUUAUCCGGGACGAUAAUGACGGUACCGGAGGAAUAAGCCCCGGCUAACUUCGUGCCAGCAGCCGCGGUAAUACGAAGGGGGCUAGCGUUGCUCGGAAUCACUGGGCGUAAAGGGCGCGUAGGCGGCGUUUUAAGUUGGGGGUGAAAGCCUGUGGCUCAACCACAGAAUUGCCUUCGAUACUGGGACGCUUGAGUGUGGUAGAGGUUGGUGGAACUGCGAGUGUAGAGGUGAAAUUCGUAGAUAUUCGCACGAACACCGGUGGCGAAGGCGGCCAACUGGACCAUCACUGACGCUGAGGCGCGAGACGUGGGGAGCAAACAAGAUUAUAUACCCUGGUAGUCCACGCGCUAAACCAUGAAUGCCAGCCCUUGUGGGGGCCUGCCU
rnacentral:rRNA from 1 species